AUAUGUGUGUUUUUUCGCAAUUCGGUUUUUUCUUUGAAAAAAAAAUUCGACAUAAUCACAAUCGUUUUCAUAAUGAUAAUAGAGUUACGGAAAGCAAAAAAAAAAACGAUAUCGUGAAAAAUUAUCAAAAUAAAAAAAAUUAUUAAAAAACAACGGCAACACAACAAUAGUUUUUGAAAUAAUCGGUUUCAAAGUUAAAAAUAGGCGAAAAAUUUUUUUUUUAAACUCAUUUUAUACUAUUUUUGUUCAGACUCAAUUUUAAUAAAAAAAUUACUCACUCAGAAAACUGCCUCAAUUGAUUCCUUAUCGAACAGUGAAAACUAUAUGUUUCUGUGUCUUCUAGUUUUAUAGAAAAAAACUAUUGGCUAUAAUACAUUGAUUUAAAAAUUAGAAUUAAAUAUACAAUUUUGCCUUUCGGAAAUGGUAUCAUUUAUUACUAAAACUGCCCCUCCCACCUAAACGGGGGGAGAUAGACCUCCACUUUCAAAGAAAAAAAUGUUUGUAUCGAACUCCUCUACAAAAACCCGUUAUCAAAUCCUGGCGCUAAAGUUAUCCUACAACGUGCCGAAACAACAUUUUUGUUCUAUACCUAAAAGUUCGAAUUUCUUUAUCUGGGUUGAAAUCGUAAAUUUCUAAGCCAAUUUUAAACUGAUUUUCAUAAAAAAUACCUCGUUUGAUUUGGAAAUAAAUAUUAUUUUAGAAUAUAUUUUUAAAACAGCAUGUUGUUGUGAAAAUAUAUACUUUAAUUUGAUGUCGAAGUUGGGUAAAUGACGAAAAAAAUUGAAUUUUUAAACUUUGACAGCUUAUAAAUUCUAGGUGGUUUAACCGAGUUACAUGUUUUAUACAUUGUUGAAAAAGUAUAUUUAUCUCCAAACAGAAACUGUAAAAAUUUGACGAAGCUACAUUUUUUUCAAUUGGUGAAGGUCAAAAAACCCGUUUUUAGCCCCUAAUUCCAGAUUUUGGGGGUGUUAGGGACUUUUUAAAUACCGUUUCGUAAUCAGUGCGACUAGCUCUACAAAACGUGAUAGGUCUCCGCCCGCGUAUAUUUUGAGUGUUACACCGUGUAAUCAAUUGAGCUAAUUUAGAAAAACAAA